GUUGUACGAGUUUAGACUCGUAGCAGAUAGCUCAGUAACACGUGGCCAAACUACCCUAUGGAUCCAGACAACCUCGGGAAACUGAGGCUAAUCUGGAAUACGACUCUCAUCCUGGAGUGGAGAGAGUCCGAAAUGCUCCGGCGCCAUAGGAUGUGGCUGCGGCCGAUUAGGUAGACGGUGGGGUAACGGCCCACCGUGCCAGUAAUCGGUACGGGUUGUGAGAGCAAGAGCCCGGAGACGGUAUCUGAGACAAGAUACCGGGCCCUACGGGGCGCAGCAGGCGCGAAACCUUUACACUGCACGCCAGUGCGAUAAGGGGACUCCAAGUGCGAGGGCAUAUAGUCCUCGCUUUUUGCGACCGUAAGGUGGUCGCGGAAUAAGUGCUGGGCAAGACCGGUGCCAGCCGCCGCGGUAAUACCGGCAGCACGAGUGAUGACCGCUGUUAUUGGGCCUAAAGCGUCCGUAGCUGGCCGCGCAAGUCUAUCGGGAAAUCUCUCCGCUUAACGGAGAGGCGUCCGGUGGAAACUGUGUGGCUUGGGACCGGAAGACCAGAGGGGUACGUCUGGGGUAGGAGUGAAAUCCCGUAAUCCUGGACGGACCACCGGUGGCGAAAGCGCCUCUGGAAGACGGAUCCGACGGUGAGGGACGAAAGCUCGGGUCACGAACCGGAUUAGAUACCCGGGUAGUCCGAGCUGUAAACGAUGUCUGCUAGGUGUGACACAGGCUACGAGCCUGUGUUGUGCCGUAGGGAAGCCGUGAAGCAGACCGCCUGGGAAGUACGUCCGCAAGGAUGAAACUUAAAGGAAUUGGCGGGGGAGCACUACAACCGGAGGAGCCUGCGGUUUAAUUG
rnacentral:rRNA from 1 species